UACGAAGGGGGCGAGCGUUGUUCGGAAUUACUGGGCGUAAAGGGCGCGUAGGCGGCCGAGCAAGUUAGAUGUGAAAGUCCUGGGCUUAACCUGGGGACUGCAUUUGAUACUGCUUGGCUUGAGUUCGGGAGAGGUGAGUGGAACUGCGAGUGUAGAGGUGAAAUUCGUAGAUAUUCGCAAGAACACCAGUGGCGAAGGCGGCUCACUGGCCCGAAACUGACGCUGAGGCACGAAAGCGUGGGGAGCAAACAGG
rnacentral:rRNA from 1 species